rnacentral:rRNA from 1 species
AACGAACGCUGGCGGCAUGCCUAACACAUGCAAGUCGAACGAGACCUUCGGGUCUAGUUGCGCACGGCUGCUUGACGCGUGGGAACCUGCCCUUAGGUUCGGAAUAACUCCCCGUAAGGGGUGCUAAUACCGGAUAAUGUCUUCGGACCAACGAUUUCUCGCCUUUGGCUGGGCCCGCGUUGGAUUAGCUAGUUGGUAGUGUAAAAGCAUACCAAGGCGACGUUGCAUAGCUGGUGUGUGAGGAUGCUCAGCCACAAUGGAACUGAGGCACGGCCCAGAACGCGACGGAGGGGAGGAGUGGGGAACACUAGAGACGGAACGAAAGCGCGACCCAGCAACGCCGCGGGAGUGAGGAUGGCCUUAGGAUUCCACAGCCCCCUUACACGAGAUGUUAGUGACAGUAACGGGAAAAUAAGCUCCGGCUAACUCCGUG